rnacentral:rRNA from 1 species
GGCAGCCGCCGCGGUAACACCGGCGGCCCGAGUGGUGAUCGUGAUUAUUGGGUCUAAAGGGUCCGUAGCCGGUUUGGUCAGUCCUCCGGGAAAUCUAAUAGCUCAACUAUUAGGCUUUCGGGGGAUACUGCCAGACUUGGAACCGGGAGAGGUAAGAGGUACUACAGGGGUAGGAGUGAAAUCUUGUAAUCCCUGUGGGACCACCUGUGGCGAAGGCGUCUUACCAGAACGGGUUCGACGGUGAGGGACGAAAGCUGGGGGCACGAACCGGAUUAGAUACCCGGGUAGUCCCAGCCGUAAACGAUGCUCGCUAGGUGUCAGGCAUGGCGCGACCGUGUCUGGUGCCGCAGGGAAGCCGUGAAGCGAGCCACCUGGGAAGUACGGCCGCAAGGCUGAAACUUAAAGGAAUUGGCGGGGGAGCACAACAACGGGUGGAAGCCUGCGGUUUAAUUGGACUCAACGCCGGACAACUCACCGGGGGCGACAGCAAUAUGUAGGCCAAGCUGAAGACUUUGCCUGAAUCGCUGAGGGGAGGUGCAUGG